rnacentral:rRNA from 1 species
AUUGAACGCUGGCGGUAGGCCUAACACAUGCAAGUCGAACGCGAAAGUCCUUCGGGAUGAGUAGAGUGGCGGACGGGUGAGUAACGCGUAGGAAUCUAUCCUGUAGUGGGGGAUAACGUUUCGCAAGGAACGCUAAUACCGCAUACGCCCCAAGGGGGAAAGCGGGGGAUCUUCGGACCUCGUGCUAGAGGAGGAGCCUGCGUCGGAUUAGCUAGUUGGUGGGGUAAAGGCUCACCAAGGCGCCGAUCCGUAGCUGGUCUGAGAGGAUGAUCAGCCACACCGGAACUGGGACACGGUCCGGACUCCUACGGGAGGCAGCAGUGGGGAAUAUUGCGCAAUGGGCGAAAGCCUGACGCAGCCAUACCGCGUGUGUGAAGAAGGCCUUCGGGUUGUAAAGCACUUUCAGUGGGGAGGAAAAGCUGGUGGCUAAUAUCCAUCGGCCGUGACGCUACCCACAGAAGAAGCACCGGCUAAUUCCGUGCCAGCCGCCGCCGUAAUAC